rnacentral:misc_RNA from 1 species
GAUGAAGAACGUAGCGAAAUGCGAUAAGUAGUGUGAAUUGCAGAAUUCAGUGAAUCAUCGAAUCUUUGAACGCACAUUGCGCCUCCUGGUAUUCCGGGAGGCAUGCCUGUUCGAGCGUCAUUAAAAUCACUCAAGCUUAGGUUUACCUAUUGCUUGGUCUUGGAGAUGGAAGCCAAUUUAUUGGGAUCCUCUUCGAAAUUCAAUGGCGAAGACCCUUGCUCUCCCAAGUGUAGUAAUAACUUAUGUCUCUGAAGGAAGCGAGAAAUCUUCUGCCGUAACCCCCAUAUUUUCUAUGAUUGACCUCGGAUCAGGUAGGGAUACCCGCUGAACUUAAGCAUAUCAAUAAGCGGAGGA